CAGCCGCCGCGGUAAUACGGAGGAUCCAAGCGUUAUCCGGAAUCAUUGGGUUUAAAGGGUCCGUAGGCGGUCUUGUAAGUCAGUGGUGAAAGCCCAUCGCUCAACGGUGGAACGGCCAUUGAUAAUGCAGGACUUGAAUUAUUGGGAAGUAACUAGAAUAUGUAGUGUAGCGGUGAAAUGCUUAGAGAUUACAUGGAAUACCAAUUGCGAAGGCAGGUUACUACCAAUUGAUUGACGCUGAUGGACGAAAGCGUGGGUAGCGAACAGGAUUAGAUACCCCUGUAGUCCCUGUCUCUUAUAC
rnacentral:rRNA from 1 species